GACGAACGCUGGCGGCGUGCCUAAUACAUGCAAGUAGAACGCAGUUGCGAACGGGUGAGUAACGCGUAGGUAACUGCCUCAUAGCGGGGGGUAACUAUUGGGAACGAUAGCUAAUACCGCAUACUGUGGGAUGGACCUGCGUUGUAUUAGCUAGUGGGUGAGGUAAAGGCUCACCAAGGCGACGAUACAUAGCCGACCUGAGAGGGUGAUCGGCCACACUGGGACUGAGACACGGCCCAGACUCCUACGGGAGGCAGCAGUAGGGAAUCUUCGGCAAUGGGCGGAAGUCUGAUCGAGCCAUGCCGCGUGAGUGAAGAAGGUUUUCGGAUCGUAAAGCUCUGUUGUUGGAGAAGCGGUAUCUAACCAGAAAGCCACGGCUAACUACGUGCCAGCAGCCGCGGUAAUUC
rnacentral:rRNA from 1 species